ensembl:lncRNA
UUUUUGUGAGUAUUUGAUUUGAUUUAUAAAGGAUGUGUGUGUAACAAAAAGGAGUUGUAGGAACUGAAACUGUACUGAUGCAAGGGCAGUGGAAUUUUGAAAUAUACUGGCUUCAGAGGUGAAAGCAGGGCAGCGUAAGGCCUAAUCUUUAUAUGAUUUCCCUUUGACAAGUUUGUAUUUAUGCAUGGUAUUGAUUCCAGUUCUGAAAGAAACUGUCUAGGGUAUAUCUAUACUCACAGCAACUUAAGUGUAUGGUUAGAUAGUUAUAGAUAGGUAUAUCCUCAGUGUACACCACUACAGAAAAGUGUGCAGUAGGAGGCAGAGCAAGCUUUAGUACCCUUUCAAAUAGUAACUGUUAAUGUCUAGGCAGAGUUUUUCAGAUUUGCCAAAGACAUUUGAACAGCCACCAGCCUCCCUCAGGUGGAUUUGAAAAGCUUAACCUGAAAGAUUGCACGGUUAGGGAGCUCUCCAUGGUGCUCCUGGCGCCAAGCCUCUCCCUGCAGUGUGCCUGGCAGUGUCUGUGUGAGCUCUUCCAUGUAGCAGGUAGCAAGGUACGCAGGGUAGUAACUCCAAAAUGUCUUUUAAGACCUGAGUUAAACUUCACCCAUUGUGGAAGUUCUGUCGUUCAAGUGAGACUAGGUCCUAAUUCACAGUUGCAGUUAAGAGUUAGUUUCUGAAAUGCAAUGUGUGAAGAGAAUGGUUCCAUGAUGCAUGCUUACCAAGUCCAUGAGGGAAGGUAUGGUUGCAGUAAUUGAAAUGCUAACAAACAAGGCAUUUAGCAGCGCACACUGAUGUAGGCUAUGUAAUGGCAUUGUCAGUGUCUUACAAAGUUCUCAAGAAGUACUGGUUUUCAACAUGUAGCUUUUGUAUCUGUGCAAUGAACAAACUUUUUAUAAGUUUUCUUAAAUCUUGACUAAAAAAUGUGUGUUUCGUAAGAGCAUUUGUUGCAACUGCACUUCUUUCAGUUUGACAAAGCUAUGAGUAAGUGUUUGGGUUGUAUGAGACAGUGGAAAUAUUGUCUUUGAAGUUGUUUUUGGUGACUGGUGAAAAUAUUUUCAUUGACUUUAAAGAAACACAGCUCAUUCCAACUUGUGAUGAUUGUGUUGCUGGGUAAAGCUUUGAGUUACUUUUUUUGUGUCAUUGAAAGAAAUGCUCAGUAAGAGAUUCUUAGCUGUAUUCAGCAUUUACUUGGUUUAGAUGCUGUCUUUCAAGCAUUCACAAUAUAAAGGAUUAAUCUUGCGUAUUAGUGGGUUUUGUUUUGUUCAUUAUCUCCUUCUCUUUUUAAUGUAUGUUUUUCCAGAAUACCCUAUUCUGCUUAGCCCCAUUUCGUGUUGGCAGAAAACAGCUCACUUAUAUUUUCUUUUAAGUAAUUAGUGUUUUUUUUUUAAUAAAUCAUUUUCCUCCAAUACAAACAGCAACUUCUGAGACAGCAAAUCAAAUACUCCAUUUAAUAUUGUUGAACAGUGAGCAUAAGGUCUAAAUGUUGUUUUCCAUUGUUCUUGUAUUUGAAUUUCUGGUAGAGAUGCAGAUGGAUUUGGGUCUGUUCUUGUAAAAUGCUAAGUAUUCCAUGGCUGUUACAAUACCUACUUUAUAUGAUUGCUUUAACUCUCUUGGUGUUCAUCCUUCAUAUGAUACUUAAUAUGUAUCUUCAUAAGUUUAUUUAUUGAUGUUCCAUGUUUUUAAAUGAAAUGUUCAUUCAUGUAUUUAACAUGAUUAAUUUUGUCAGCACUGCAUUUAUUAUGUUUGCCUUGCCCUUCGGUAUAGUUAAUAUUUGUUUAUGACUAUCCAAUGUUUUGUGGCAGUGUUGUUGUUUUUUUUUUUUGCUUUCUUUUUUUUGCAGAAUGCCUGGGUUUGUGUUUUAUUUGAUAUAUUAAUAUUAUUUUAAAGCCUCAGUUCUGUUUUCAUCAAUAAAUGUAAAUCACCCCCUGAUGCUAAUUUGCCACUUGUUAACAAUAAAGUGAAUAUGCCAAUAAAACUUCUUGAAAU